AUUAAAAUGACUCUCGGCAACGGAUAUCUCGGCUCUUGCAUCGAUGAAGAACGUAGCGAAAUGCGAUACUUGGUGUGAAUUGCAGAAUCCCGUGAACCAUCGAGUCUUUGAACGCAAGUUGCGCCCAAAGCCAUUAGGCUGAGGGCACGCCUGCCUGGGUGUCACAC
rnacentral:rRNA from 1 species